rnacentral:rRNA from 1 species
UCAGCAGCCGCGGUAAUACGGAGGGUGCAAGCGUUAUCCGGAUUCACUGGGUUUAAAGGGUGCGUAGGUGGGUUUGUAAGUCAGUGGUGAAAUCUCCGAGCUUAACUYGGAAACUGCCAUUGAUACUAUMWGUCUUGAAUUMUSUGGAGGUAAGCGGAAUAUGUCAUGUAGCGGUGAAAUGCUUAGAUAUGACAUAGAACACCAAUUGCGAAGGCAGCUUACUACRGAWAUAUUGACACUGAGGCACGAAAGCGUGGGGAUCAAACAGGAUUAGAUACCCUGGUAGUCCACGCCCUAAACGAUGGAUACUCGACAUCCGCGAUACACUGUCGGUGUCUGAGCGAAAGCAUUAAGUAUCCCACCUGGGAAGUACGAUCGCAAGAUUGAAACUCAAAGGA